rnacentral:lncRNA from 1 species
AAAAAAGAAAGAUCAAUGAAAAGAAAUGUGUUAUAAGUGACACCCUGCCCUUCACUUCCAGGAGAGCAGAACAAAGUGGUGACAAGUAUAUAAAAGCUCUUGAGGAGGACUUUUCUAGAUAUAGGAUAUUUGUAGCUCUGAGUAUCCUGCUCCUCUUUGUCCCUGGUCCUUUCUCUAGAGUACCACCACCACCAUCCUUGGCCACAGCAUUCCUGCUAUGGAGAAGAUAGAGUGACCCAGAAGGCAAAGCCACCUGCUUGAAGCAUGGUGUGGUCAACCUGUUCUCCAUGGCCCUUUCGAACAUUGUCAGGCCACAGGUCCACGAGGAAGGUCAUUUCAGGCAUGGACACAGCAAAGCAGCACUCGCAACUAAGAACGAUGGGAGAAAGAGUUGAAACCAUGUUUCACCGGAGAAAUGAACAAGCUCACCAAAAAGAACUCCCGCCAACAGGAAGUUCCCAUACUUCUGCUUUUCGGCCAUCACAGAAUUUAGUAAACAGACUGAAAACAAAGACAGCACUCUCAUCAUGCAGUUUCUGUAAAGACAACCUAAUAUUACGGCCUUUGGAUGGUGCAGGAGAGAAAUGUGACGUGGCAGGAGGAACAGAAAAGUAAUGCAGCCAGAAUGUCCUCUUUCCCCUGCAAGAAACCUUUUUACACAUCUCUAUUGUUUAUUUCAUUUAGAUUGUCUGUAGCAAAAAAACAAAAACACAACAGUUAUUUACGUGCUACCAAUCAUUUAUAAUCUUUUCAAACUACA